UACGAAGGGGGCGAGCGUUGUUCGGAAUUACUGGGCGUAAAGGGCGCGCAGGCGGCUCUGAAAGUCAGAUGUGAAAGCCCCGGGCUUAACCUGGGAAUUGCAUUUGAUACUCUGGAGCUUGAGUGUGGGAGAGGAGAGUGGAAUUCCCAGUGUAGAGGUGAAAUUCGUAGAUAUUGGGAAGAACACCGGUGGCGAAGGCGGCUCUCUGGACCACAACUGACGCUGAGACACGAAAGCGUGGGUAGCAAACAGG
rnacentral:rRNA from 1 species